CCUACGGGAGGCAGCAGUGGGGAAUAUUGGACAAUGGGGGGAACCCUGAUCCAGCCAUGCCGCGUGUGUGAAGAAGGCCCUCGGGUUGUAAAGCACUUUCAGUGAGGAAGAACGCCUGGUGGUUAAUACCCAUCAGGAAAGACAUCACUCACAGAAGAAGCACCGGCUAACUCCGUGCCAGCAGCCGCGGUAAUACGGAGGGUGUGAGCGUUAAUCGGAAUUACUGGGCGUAAAGCGCGCGUAGGUGGCUUGAUAAGCCGGUUGUGAAAGCCCCGGGCUCAACCUGGGAACGGCAUCCGGAACUGUCAAGCUAGAGUGCAGGAGAGGAAGGUAGAAUUCCCGGUGUAGCGGUGAAAUGCGUAGAGAUCGGGAGGAAUACCAGUGGCGAAGGCGGCCUUCUGGACUGACACUGACACUGAGGUGCGAAAGCGUGGGUAGCAAACAGGAUUAGAUACCCGAGUAGUC
rnacentral:rRNA from 1 species